UACGAAGGGGGCUAGCGUUGCUCGGAAUCACUGGGCGUAAAGGGUGCGUAGGCGGGUCUUUAAGUCAGGGGUGAAAUCCUGGAGCUCAACUCCAGAACUGCCUUUGAUACUGAAGAUCUUGAGUUCGGGAGAGGUGAGUGGAACUCCCAGUGUAGAGGUGAAAUUCGUAGAUAUUGGAAAGACCACCGAUGGCGAAGGCACUCUACUGGGCCAUGACUGACACUGAGAGACGAAAGCUAGGGGAGCAAAUGGG
rnacentral:rRNA from 1 species